AGAUUGGGCCGUCUGGUCUUGGUGCAGUCGGUUUUGACAGCCAGGCCAAUCCAUCACAUGAUGAUCCUGGAUGCUCCAGAUUGGGUUUUCGAUGAGAUAAACGCAUUGAUGCAGGCUUUCUUCUGGAAGGGUAAAGAUAAGAUCAUUGGGGGCCAAUGUCUAGUGGCUUGGAACAACAUCCGCCGGCCCAAAAUCUACGGUGGCCUCGGUGUUAAAAACCUUAAACUUCAGGCCCUGGCGCUGCGGGCCUGCUAGGAGUGGUUGCGGCGCACUGACCAAUCCACACCAUGGCAGGGCAUCCAGUUCAUGGUUGACAAGGAAGCAAGGGAGGUUUUCAACAGUCUGGUAUGCAUCACCGCCGGGUGUGGUAGUGCCGUACUUUUCUGGGAGGAUCAAUAG
rnacentral:rRNA from 1 species